rnacentral:rRNA from 1 species
UGUCUCCUCUCUCUAAUCAGUGAAACUAAUCUCCCCGUGAAGAAGCGAGGAUAAUACUAUAAGACGAGAAGACCCCAUGGAGCUUUAAACCCAAUUAUAUUCCUAACCCCCACAACCAUUUAAUCUCUUAGGCCCCAUAUACUUGGUUUUAGGUUGGGGCGACCACGGAGUAAAACCAAACCUCCAUGAUGUACGGAACAACCUCCUUAUCCAAGAGCCACAGCUCUAAGAAUUAGCACACUAUCAAAAAAUGACCCAUUAUUGAUCAACGAACCAAGUUACCCUGGGGAUAACAGCGCAAUCCAUUUUAAGAGCCCCUAUCGAC